UCCCAUUUGCCUCAUAACACGUAAGAACAACCAUCAUAAUCGAAGCAACUUCCUCAGUUCAUAACCCAAUAAAUAAAGUGCCAUCCUGCAUAAAUUUUCAAACUAAUGAUAUUACCAGAAUCCCCAUACUUGGUUAAAUCUUUAGUCAAUCAAGUGACUACAUGCCAUACUUAUACAAUCUUCCCGUAGGUCAUUCUCCCACAGCCUUUUGAAAUAAAUAACGGGUUCGCACAUCUAAACCACCGGACACACUAAUGCUGAAAAGCGAUUAAGAAUCCUUAACCAGGAUGCAAAGCCUCUUUCACA
rnacentral:lncRNA from 1 species